GCGGAGGUAGCAAAGUCUGGUCAAAUGCGCAGGACUCAGAAUCCUGUCCCUUAGUGGGUUCGGCGGUUCGAAUCCGCUCCUCCGCA
rnacentral:tRNA from 1 species